UCCCAUAUAGUGUAGUGGUUUAGCAUACCAGGUUUUCAGACAAACUUCUGCUGAUCCCUGGCGACCCGGGUUCGAACCCCGGUAUGGGAA